rnacentral:tRNA from 1 species
GCUCCCAUCGUCUAGAGGCCUAGGACACCGCCCUUUCACGGCGGUAACAGGGGUUCGAAUCCCCUUGGGAGUA